CCCUUAGACGUUCUGGGCCGCACGCGCGCUACACUGACCAGUGCAACAAGCAUCCGUCCUUGGCCGACAGGCCCGGGCAAUCUUUGAACGCUGGUCGUGAUGGGGAUAGACUUUUGCAAUUUUUGGUCUUCAACGAGGAAUUCCUAGUAAACGCAAGUCAUCAACUUGCAUUGAUUACGUCUCUGCCCUUUGUACACACCGCCCGUCGCACCUACCGAUUGAAUGGUCCGGUGAAGCCUCCGGAUUGGCGCGCACCUCGGUGCCGCCGAGAAGUUGGCUAAACCUUACCAUUUAGAGGAAGGUGAANUCGUAACA
rnacentral:rRNA from 1 species